rnacentral:rRNA from 1 species
CACGUCGAGCGGAACGAUUUAUCUUAACCUUCGGGGCACGAUACGGCGUCCAGCGGCCGACGGCUGAGUCUAGCCUAGGAAAUUGCCCUGAUGUGGGGGAUAACCAUUGGAAACGAUGGCUAAUACCGCAUGAUGCCUACGGGCCAAAGAGGGGGACCUUCGGGCCUCUCGCGUCAGGAUAUGCCUAGGUGGGAUUAGCUAGUUGGUGAGGUAAGGGCUCACCAAGGCGACGAUCCCUAGCUGGUCUGAGAGGAUGAUCAGCCACACUGGAACUGAGACACGGUCCAGACUCCUACGGGAGGCAGCAGUGGGGAAUAUUGCACAAUGGGCGCAAGCCUGAUGCAGCCAUGCCGCGUGUGUGAAGAAGGCCUUCGGGUUGUAAAGCACUUUCAGUCGUGAGGAAGGUAGUGUAGUUAAUAGCUGCAUUAUUUGACGUUAGCGACAGAAGAAGCACCGGCUAACUCCGUGCCAGCAGCCGCGGUAAUACGGAGGGUGCGAGCGUUAAUCGGAAUUACUGGGCGUAAAGCGCAUGCAGGUGGUUUGUUAAGUCAGAUGUGAAAGCCCGGGGCUCAACCUCGGAAUUGCAUUUGAAACUGGCAGACUAGAGUACUGUAGAGGGGGGUAGAAUUUCAGGUGUAGCGGUGAAAUGCGUAGAGAUCUGAAGGAAUACCGGUGGCGAAGGCGGCCCCCUGGACAGAUACUGACACUCAGAUGCGAAAGCGUGGGGAGCAAACAGGAUUAGAUACCCUGGUAGUCCACGCCGUAAACGAUGUCUACUUGGAGGUUGUGGCCUUGAGCCGUGGCUUUCGGAGCUAACGCGUUAAGUAGACCGCCUGGGGAGUACGGUCGCAAGAUUAAAACUCAAAUGAAUUGACGGGGGCCCGCACAAGCGGUGGAGCAUGUGGUUUAAUUCGAUGCAACGCGAAGAACCUUACCUACUCUUGACAUCCAGAGAACUUUCCAGAGAUGGAUUGGUGCCUUCGGGAACUCUGAGACAGGUGCUGCAUGGCUGUCGUCAGCUCGUGUUGUGAAAUGUUGGGUUAAGUCCCGCAACGAGCGCAACCCUUAUCCUUGUUUGCCAGCGAGUAAUGUCGGGAACUCCAGGGAGACUGCCGGUGAUAAACCGGAGGAAGGUGGGGACGACGUCAAGUCAUCAUGGCCCUUACGAGUAGGGCUACACACGUGCUACAAUGGCGCAUACAGAGGGCGGCCAACUUGCGAAAGUGAGCGAAUCCCAAAAAGUGCGUCGUAGUCCGGAUUGGAGUCUGCAACUCGACUCCAUGAAGUCGGAAUCGCUAGUAAUCGUGGAUCAGAAUGCCACGGUGAAUACGUUCCCGGGCCUUGUACACACCGCCCGUCACACCAUGGGAGUGGGCUGCAAAAGAAGUAGGUAGUUUAACCUUCGGGGGG